GAUUUUACACUGUGUAACUUUUUCAGACAGCUCUUCUUCCACAGAAGUCGUCAUGGCUUCAGCCUGAGAAUGGGGUUCUUCUUCGGUUUCUUUAGUGUUUGAAGAACUUGCCUCCUCGGGGGAGGUUACAUCUCCUGAAGAGUUUGUUUCUUUUCUACUACUCUUCUCAGGAUCAUUUGAUGGAGCUUUGUUCUCAUCAUUCAUUAAGUAUAUGCUUGGAUCUAAAUGUCUUCCCUGUAAGAUGAUAAUUCAUAACCAAGGCUUAUAAAAUAAAACAAGUUUAACAGAUGAAAUAAAAUGAUUUUCACAAAGGAUAUAUACCUCAAUGAUAAUGGGUUUCCCAUCUUUCAUUGCUUUCUUCAAAUCACCAGCAAGUCCUAAGCAAACAACAACAAAACCAUUUGUGAUAAUGUAACAAUCCACAAAACACAAAGUGGAAAAAAAACAAAAACAAAAAAGGACCUUUACGAACAAUUCUGCAUUCUCUACAGAACUCAGCUAUGAGCUCCUCUGAUGAUGCGAACUCACGAGUCCAUACAGGGGUUGAUGUCAAAGGAGCACUAAGAUUAAACCAAAAAAAAACAACAAUACAUUCAUCAUAUGUCAGACUAGAGGAUAAGAGUGUGACAGAUAGAAGUAGAAACUUACUCAGUUGCUGUACGGAGCAGCUCAUAUACCAUGUCAGUCUGUAGAAACAGAAGAGAGCACAUAAGAUUUGAAAAAGAAAACGAAUGAAGAAGAAGAGGGUAUUGAGGGAGUGAUAAAUACAUGUAAGACGUUAGGCAAGUUGAGUCUCUGAGCAAGUUGUGUGGCUAUUGUUGACUUCCCAACACAUGCUGUUCCGCAUACUAGUAUCACCAGUGGUACUCUCCGAUGAUGAAAUCUAUAUAACCCACAUACACAAAAAAUUUAAAACUUUGAAAGUAAAAAAAGUAUAUAUAUAUAUAUAUAGUUAGCACUUACUUGGUCAUCAUAUUGUAGCGAUUAACGUACUCCUUCCCGUAACCACGUCGCUCCAUAAGCUGCAAUUUUGAAUCAGAAUUAGUUUUAAAAACGUUUUUCACAAGACCAUCUAAAGAUAUGUAUGCACCAUACCAUAAACAAACUGGUUUCCAAAUCUUUCAUAUGUAUCCAAAUCAAGCUUCUUAUAUCGUGAUUCAAGUUAUAUUUAGAAAGUUAUAGUUUUGAAUUUUUUUAAAUUAUAGAAAAUAUUUUUAUUUUAAAAUUUUAUAAUAUUAAUUAAAAUUUAAUAGAUAUAUUUUAGUAUUUUAUAAUUUCAAUUUAAAUUUUUUAUUGAAUAUUUUUAUUUUUGUAUUUAUAUUGUUUUUUUUUAAAUAAGAUUUUAGGAUUCGAGUUCUAGGAUUGAUUAACACAUGCACUCAGCAACUACAUCACAAUUAGGAUUCCCUUAACCUGAAAGUAUAGCUUAUAUCUUAUUCUCUGAACUCAACCAAUCUAUUUUAUUUAUUGCGUAUCAUUAUUUACUGUCUUAACCAAUUACCUGUCUGGCUUAAUCUUAUAUUUAAUAUGUUCUAUUGUGUUCCCACGCUCUCUAUGGAUUCGAUUCCCAAGUGCUAUAUCCGAUGUCUUAUCUGAGAGAGUUGACUCUAGGGUUAAUUUGAGCUUAUCAUCAUUACCCAUUGAUAUAGAGAGGUUUUAAGCAUUUCAUGUCGUUUAUGUAACGGUUCCCCGUUUAGAAAAGAUGAUUUUGUUUACAGAGGGUUAAAAGCAUUAAAUGUUUAAUAGUUGAAGGUUUAAAAACAUAAAAUUUUAGUUGUGGUUUUUCCAUCCGAUUUGAAAAUAGUUGGAGGUUUAAAUCACUAAAAUAUCGACUGAUCAUAAGAACCUCGUGUCGUUUUCGUGAUUACAUGAAACGCUGCGUUUUGAUUUAACGGGUCUCCGUUAAGAAAAACUGGUUUUGUUAACGGAAGGUUAACAGUAUUAACGGUCUAAUAGUUGAAGGUUUAAAAACAUAAAUUUUACUCGGAGUUUUUUCAUCCGAUUUAAAAAUAGUUAGAAAUCACUAAUAACCCUUAUUAUUAUUAUUAUCUCAAACUUGUGGUUUGACAAUCUAGAUCUUGGAAUAAGAUCUUUAACUAUAUUCCAGGAGCACGAUUCAGUAUAUAGUUAUAUGAUGAAAGAAACUGUUAAUGUUUAGAUUCACAAUCAUCUGGUCCAAAAACAUGAAAAAGCCUAAGUAUGUCAAAUUGUUGGAAAAUAUAUCAUUAACAGACAACGAAUGUAUAAUUUUAAGAAGUGCUUUUAAACCUCAGCAUCAAGAUUGUAAUCACAUAUGUUUUUACACAUCAGAUCUGAUGAUUAUUUGAAUUCCAUCAUUGGUUAAAAAAAGCCACUUUCAAUCAAAAUCAAAACAAAGCGAGUUGGUUUAAUGCAUCAGAGAGAUUCCCAUUAAAGACUAAAGUCAACACAGAUUAUUUCUGAUGUCCCUGUCUGUUUAAUCUUCACUUGCAAAUAACCAUCAAGUCCACUUCACAAAGAAUAAAAAAAAAACCGUCAACCAAGGUCAGAUGAUACUCGGUAGAAAAAAAGACUUGAGCUUUAAAAAACAAAACAAAAUCCUACAGUACUCAAGAUAUAAGCAGGAUUUUGAUGAAGAAACAGGUUUAGGACAGAACAGAGACUGGAAGUUACGGUUAUGGCGAUGUUCGCUCUUGUACUUAUAAAGAAGAUUUAGGAGGAAAGGGGGAUGUAAGUAUGUGAUUUAUUUAGCUGUUAUCAAAAGGGGAUGUAGCUCAGAUGGUAGAGCGCUCGCUUAGCAUGCGAGAGGUACGGGGAUCGAUACCCCGCAUCUCCAUAUUUUUUACACAUCUUCCUUUUGAUUUUCGUAAAUGAAAUAAUGAUUAAUCACCACAGAAUUGAUUUGUUUGAAAGCAUCCCCAUAGAACCUUUAAGAAGACAUCAUAAAUAUUUGUUACUUCCACAAAGUGCAAAAUAAUCUUGGAAGCUAUAACGUGUACUAUGCAAAGAAGCAUCUGAAUCAUUCAUGUUUUCAUAAAAAAACAAAAGUUUGUUUAUCUAAGAUCGGGUCGUCACUGCCACGGAAGUAGCAAUUACGAUUUAAGACAAGAAAGUUUUGUCCGAAGCGAAGACAUGUUGGUACAUUUAUAGAGUUCUAAACUCGAUUGUUUUCUAUAAUUAAACUCAUUUCCGGUUUCAGAUUAUACAGGUGACAAGAAGCUUCAUCCUUAAGAAGAUGUAACUUAAGCCUUCUUCAACACUUCUUCUUUGGCGGGGGUCUCAUUCUCUGACGAUCGAAUCCCUUCCUCAAUGCGCUACAACACAACCACCACGAAGAACAAGGCCACGGUUUUUUGUUUGUUUGUUGAGGUUUAAGACUUUGUAAAGCUUUAUAAACUCUUUUCUUACCUGAAGAAGAUAGUUGUGAAGCCAAUCCAGCGUCUGUGGGAAAGUGGUGGCCGAUAUAUUAACAACAGUCACUCCCUGUGAAUUGAAGGAGCAAAGGUAGUCUUCAAUUGUCUUUAGGUUUGUAAUUAGUCUCUCUUUCUCCUAGCAAACAAAACAAGACCAAACAGUGUUCACACCAACUUUCAAGAUCAGUUUAGUGAAGGGCUUGAGGGUUUUGUUUAUAUACCUUAGAUGUAUAUUUAUCUCCACAUGUACGGGAAGAGAUCCACUCCUCUAGCAAAGCCUGAGGAAGACAACAUGAUUUAACAAAAUUCAACAACUGAGAAAGAAAGACUACUUAAUGCCUCAUAAAAACUUGAAUCACCUUAUGAUCAAACUCAGCCAUCUUCAAAACAAUAGAUAUGACUAUGGGCUCAGGACCAGAUUUCGCCUUCCCACUCCCACCUGCAGGCUUCCUCUUCUCUUCGGCUUCUUUUACAGUUUCUUCUGCUCACAGAUGAAACCGAGACAUACCAUUACACACAAUCUAAUGCAGAGAAACUUCAUAGGAAGAGAGGGAGAUGAUGAGAAUACUAUAAACAAUACCAUCGAUUUUACACUGUGUAACUUUUUCAGACAGCUCUUCUUCCACAGAAGUCGUCAUGGCUUCAGCCUGAGAAUGGGGUUCUUCUUCGGUUUCUUUAGUGUUUGAAGAACUUGCCUCCUCGGGGGAGGUUACAUCUCCUGAAGAGUUUGUUUCUUUUCUACUACUCUUCUCAGGAUCAUUUGAUGGAGCUUUGUUCUCAUCAUUCAUUAAGUAUAUGCUUGGAUCUAAAUGUCUUCCCUGUAAGAUGAU
rnacentral:lncRNA from 1 species